UGAGGAAUAUUGGUCAAUGGGCGCAAGCCUGAACCAGCCAUGCCGCGUGCAGGAAGAAUGCCCUAUGGGUUGUAAACUGCUUUUAUUUGGGAAUAAACCUCUUUACGUGUAGAGAGCUGAAGGUACCAAAUGAAUAAGCACCGGCUAACUCCGUGCCAGCAGCCGCGGUAAUACGGAGGGUGCAAGCGUUAUCCGGAAUCAUUGGGUUUAAAGGGUCCGCAGGCGGAUUUAUAAGUCAGUGGUGAAAUCCUAUCGCUUAACGAUAGAACUGCCAUUGAUACUGUAAGUCUUGAAUUCGGUCGGAGUGGGCGGAAUGUGUAGUGUAGCGGUGAAAUGCAUAGAUAUUACACAGAACACCGAUAGCGAAGGCAGCUCACUAGGCCUGAAUUGACGCUCAGGGACGAAAGCGUGGGGAUCAAACAGG
rnacentral:rRNA from 1 species